CAGUAACAAACAUCCUCACUAAUUAACUGUCUGUCUUCUCUUUUGUGAAUUUCCCAAGAUUUAGCUCUAAGGACGCAACAGUUAUGGAUCAUCCCACGCCUAUGCUCCUUUUGUCUGCGGACACACAGCUUCCCGGAUCUGGGAAUCGAUCGUGAUCACGAGCAAGUCCAUGAGGUGUUGUUCUUGAUCCAUCUUCUUGAUUUAGAAGAGCCAUAAAGAAUCAUCAGGGGACAAUGGAGCCCUGGAGUAUACUCUCAAGUAUUGGCUCAAAUCAUUCACUAGAGAUCAAUUCAAGCUUCAAGGCCGUACAGCUCAGCUUUCUAAUCUAAUCUAGCUGCCAUGCCAUAUGUCAGCAAUCAGAGCCUGUAGUUGUGCAAAUCGAUAAAAUUGAUCUUGUUCUUGAAGAGAAUCCUGAUGCUGAUGUGACAAAGGGCCCAAGCAGUGCUCAAUCUCCAACAGGCUCUAGAAAAAGUAAUGGCUAUGGAUUCGCUGACAAGAUAGCAGAUGGAAUGACUUUACUAGUUAAGGUGGUGGGGCUCACCGUGUAGGAGGUGCACUGCAGCCUGGUAAGUUGCUUUUACUGCCUCAAUUGUCUAGCAGUUGGAAUUGUAGCUUCACGUCUAUUAGCGGUAUUUGAUACAUAAACCUGGUUAUGAUUUUUAAUUAUUGGAAUUUAUCUAUGCCUUUCACUCUCGACCUAAAUAUGAAUGCAUUGGUUGUUUCUUAUCUUAUGUAUGUGUAAGCUCUUGUACUUCGUAUCUAGGGCUGCUCCUCUGGCAUCCAUUACAAUACGCAACCUUGUUCUGUACACCACUAAUGAGAGUUGGAAGGUUGUAAAUCUGAAAGAAGCAAGGGACUUCUCUACUAACAAAGGAUUUAUUUAUUUGUUUAAGGUUUUGAUGCCACUCUUUUU